AGAGCAGCUUCACCAUCAGGCACAGGACAUGCCAGUUUCGAGAGACGUUUAGGAUUUAUGUGCAACCAAUGAAUAAGAUGGAGUGUCAGAGAGAGUGGGGCCUACCCACUGUCUCCUGGACGAGCUGGGACCAAACCCAGCCUACGCAGGAGGGGUCAUAACAUGAGGCCUGUAUCUGCUUUGUUCCCAUGGAAUCCGGUAAAGUGGAUCCCCAGUUCGACUCCAGCAGGCCCAUCUCUCACCUGUCUGCCACGUCCACACUGCCACCAGGGACAGAGCUAACAUCUGGCUCUGCUUCAUGAGGCCUCCAGCCCCAGAGCAGCUCAGGGACAGGAAGGAUGAACUCUGCCUGGCCUUGCUGAGCUAGUUCUCGGGGCUCCCACUGCAAGCUCUGUGGUUAACGCCUCUGCUGACAGCGGACAGGACAGACUUUCUCUGAAAGUCUGAGUUUCUCUGAAUCUCUGAGGUGCAGGAUUCUCAGAAACCCAGCGGCAGCCUUGCCACGCACCACCGCUGCGACACUGGCCACUCCCGGCAAUCUGAGGGGCAUUUUGUGUGUCCCCAGCACCUGUACAGCCUCACACUUUGAAGGUGUCCAAUCACAUCUGCUGGAGGAACAAGUGGCCCAAUGUUGCAUGGAUCCUCUGGGUCGGUGUCAUCUCUCUGGGUCGGUGUCAUCUGUCCCCUCUCACCAACAGCCUCUUCUUUGCCUUCCGCCAAGAUUGUAAAUUUCCUGAGGCCUCCCCAGCCAUGCUUCCUGUACAGCCUGAAGAACUAGGAUGAAGAUAAAGAUAAGUGAUGGAGGAAGAAGACCCAGCAUGAGGUGAAUGAGUGUUUCACUCAACCCAAAGGGCACUGUUCUGCAAAGGACAUUGCAGCACUCUAUUUCCUGUGAUUCUGCUUUCACAGCCUUCUCAGAUUUUUUUUUUAAUUUAAAAUAAAUGUAUUGCACCAUAAGGAUUUUAAAAAGUUGGUUGUAAAACCUGUUUACAAAAGCUAAAUUAAAAUGUCAUGCUAAAACUGUUGAAAAUAGAGGGCUUUUAAUGAUGCUCCCUUUGAUGUUCACAUUUCUUUGCAAUAGAGUUACAUGAUUUGGGUGAUGCAAAAAGAUGGAGAAAGAAGGAAAGAACUCUCUCACAAAGAUAUAUAGUCUACUCUUCCUGACCUUGAGUACGUUUACUGGCAGACAGAUUGUAAACAAGGUUUACAAAACAUCGAAUGACUAAAUGUAUGUUUCAAAUAUCCAGGUUAAUUUGGCCUUAGAUUAAAAUUACUAUCAUGAGACUUAAACUGCUGAUGUUUAAAUUCAUUUUAUAUCUAUUCAUUUCAAUAAACUAUACUAAAUGGGAAUAUAUUUUAA
ensembl:lncRNA Novel transcript, antisense to TBC1D5